rnacentral:rRNA from 1 species
AGAACGAACGCUGGCGGCAGGCCUCAAACAUGCAAGUCUAGGGGGUGUAGCAAUACAUCACCGGCGGACGGGUGCGUAACGCGUGGGAAUGUACCUAUUGGUUCGGAACAACACAGGGAAACUUGUGCUAAUACCGGAUGAGCCCGAAAGGGGAAAGAUUUCUCGCCAAUAGAUCAGCCCGCGUCCGAUUAGCUAGUUGGUGGGGUUAAAGCCUACCAAGGCGACGAUCGGUAGCUGUUCUGAGAGGAAGAUCAGCCACACUGGGACUGAGACACGGCCCAGACUCCUACGGGAGGCAGCAGUUGGGAAUCUUGGACAAUGGGGAACCCUGAUCCAGCCAUGCCGCGUGAGUGAUGAAGGCCUUCGGGUUGUAAAACUCUUUCGACGGGGACGAUAAUGACGGUACCCGUAGAAGAGCUCCGGCUAACUUCGUGCCAGCAGCC